rnacentral:rRNA from 1 species
UACGUAGGCAGCAAGCGUUGUUCGGAAUUACUGGGCGUAAAGAGUGUGUAGGCGGUGCUCCAAGUCUGGUGUGAAAUCUCCCGGCUUAACUGGGAGGGUGCAUUAGAAACUGGAAGUGCUAGAGGAUGGGAGAGGUAAGCGGAAUUCCUGGUGUAGCGGUGAAAUGCGUAGAUAUCAGGAGGAACACCUGUGGUGUAGACAGCUUACUGGACCAUUUCUGACGCUGAGACACGAAAGCGUGGGUAGCAAACAGG